AUAAAAAAAAAAGAAAACAAAAGAAAAAAAAUUCUUCGAUGGCACGAGAAAAGCACUCAAUUGAAGAAAAAAAAAGAAGAGAAAAUCAAAGCAAAAAAGAACUGAGCAAUACAAACUUAAAAAGAAAUGAGAUGUAGAACAAACACAGUGAAAAGAAUAAUGACAUUGGCACUGAACCCAAACCACUUGUUUUCCCUUUUGUUUGUAUUUACCC
rnacentral:lncRNA from 1 species